rnacentral:rRNA from 1 species
GGAUCAACUUACUGGUCGUGCCUAUGGUACGCAUUGGUUUUGUUGGUUUCUCCCUUCUGACGAAUCAUGAUGUCAUUAAUUUGAUGUCCUGAGGAAUCAGGACUGUUACUUUGAAAAAAUUAGAGUGUUUAAAGCAGGCUAACGCUUGAAUACAUUAGCAUGGAAUAAUGAAAUAGGACGAUUGAUCCUAUUUUGUUGGUUUUUAGGAUUGACGUAAUGAUUAAUAGGGAUAGUUG